GAGGGACUUCAGCUCCGUUUUGGGUAAUAUCAUGGUUUGCAUAACGGAGUUAUGGAGUCCCUCGC
rnacentral:scRNA from 1 species